CCUACGGGUGGCAGCAGUGAGGAAUAUUGGUCAAUGGGCGGGAGCCUGAACCAGCCAAGUCGCGUGAGGGAAGACGGUCCUAUGGAUUGUAAACCUCUUUAGGCGGGGAGCAAUGCCGGGCACGCGUGCCCGGAGGCAGAGUACCCGCAGAAUAAGCCUCGGCUAACUCCGUGCCAGCAGCCGCGGUAAUACGGAGGAUGCGAGCGUUAUCCGGAUUUAUUGGGUUUAAAGGGUGCGUAGGCGGAUUUUUAAGUCAGCGGUAAAAUGUCCGGGCUCAACCCGGGCCGGCCGUUGAAACUGGGGAGCUUGAGUGGGCGAGAAGUAUGCGGAAUGCGUGGUGUAGCGGUGAAAUGCAUAGAUAUCACGCAGAACUCCGAUUGCGAAGGCAGCAUACCGGCGCCCGACUGACGCUGAGGCACGAAAGCGUGGGGAUCGAACAGGAUUAGAUACCCCAGUAGUC
rnacentral:rRNA from 1 species